UACGGAGGAUGCAAGCGUUAUCCGGAAUGAUUGGGCGUAGAGCGUCCGCAGGUGGCUGUGUAAGUCUGCUGUUAAAUAGUGAGGCUCAACCUCAUAAAGGCAGUGGAAACUACACGGCUAGAGUGCGUUCGGGGCAGAGGGAAUUCCUGGUGUAGCGGUGAAAUGCGUAGAGAUCAGGAAGAACACCGGUGGCGAAAGCGCUCUGCUAGGCCGCAACUGACACUGAGGGACGAAAGCUAGGGGAGCGAACAGG
rnacentral:rRNA from 1 species